rnacentral:rRNA from 1 species
UGCCAGCANNMGCGGUUAAACUUAUAACUAAAUUAUAAAUAAUAGGUAAGUUGGUAAAAAUAUAUAAAAGGAAAAUUUGUUGGUUAAAUAAUAAUAAUAAUCUAUACCUUUUUAUAAUAAAACCAUGAAAAUAUCUUAUAGAACUAGGAUUAGAUACCCUAUUACUAAUUAAAUUAAAAUAAAUACCUGGGAACUACGAGAAAAUAAUCUUAAAACCUAAAGAGCUUGGCGGUCCUCUAUUUUAUCAGGGGAGCUUGUUAUAUAAACGAUGAUCCGCGUUAAUUCUUACCUUUUUAAUUUUGCUAGUAUACCUCCGUCAAGUUAAUCUCUAAAAGUAUUAGCAUAAGAUAUAUUUCUUAACAUCAGGUCAAGGUGCAGCUAAUAAAAAGGAAUAAGAUGAGCUACUAUGUUUAAACCUGAAAUUAUUUUCAAAAGAAAAUAAAGAAAUAGUACUUGAAAGUAAUCUUUUUUUAAAAUGAAGAGAUGAAUUAAACCUAGAGGGUGUACAAAUCGCCCGUCACUCCCUCCAAAAGAGGGAAAAGUCGUAACACAGUA